AUGGAGGCCUCAGCAUUUCGCCUCUUCCUCAUACUAGGGUUCCUACUAGCCGUUGCGACGCGCUCUCACGGUGAAUCCUCGACAUGCCUGACGGUGUACAAAGAAGGCGGCGCUCCGGCGGUCUUUCAAUCCCCAAAAUGCCCUCGCUGGAAGCACUCCGAUUCUCGAACCGCCACCGCGCGUUGCCAAUCGGCGAUGCUUCAAGGUCGCCGGAGGUACAUGGAGGACCGCACUCUCUGUGCUCUCGAUCUUCGCAUUCCCUUCCCCGGUAGGGGAGGGAUCAAGGAGGUUACGGUUGGAGUUGUGGCGGUUUUCGAUGGUCAUAAUGGAGCUGAAGCUAGUGAUAUGGCUUCCAAGCUUUUCUUGGAGUAUUUCGUUUUGCAUACCUAUUUUCUUAUUGAUGCAUCGUACUCUGCUAUAUUGAAGACAACUGCUGGGAGGUUGGAAACUAGUGAAGAUCAUUAUAAUAUAUCUCGACGGCGUAAUUGGGAUGGCUUACUUAAUGGACAUGAAUUGGACAUUGGAAGGUUUACACAUUCAUUCAAAGCAACAGUUGAUGAUUCUUAUCACUUUGAAAUUCUGAAAGAAGCAUUGUUGAGGGCAAUUCAUGACAUUGAUGCAAAAUUUUCUAAGGAAGCGUAUAGGAAAAAUAUUGAUUCUGGUUCCACAGCCACAGUUGCACUACUUGCUGAUGGUCAAAUCUUAGUUGCCAAUAUUGGAGACUCAAAGGCUUUUCUUUGCUCAGAAAAAUUUAGAUCUCGGGCAGAGGCUAAAGCCGCUUAUUUAAGAUUAUACAGGCAGGAAAGAAGUAAUGGUGCUAUUUCACGCCUAAGAAACCAUGAAAACUUUGGAUUGACUUCCUCCGCUGGACUCAUGCAUUUUUCAGUUAAGGAACUGACAAGAGAUCAUCAUCCGGACAGAGAUGACGAAAGAGUUAGGGUAGAAACUGCUGGUGGCUAUGUUUUGGAAUGGGGCGGUGUGCCCCGAGUAAAUGGAGAACUUGCUAUUUCCCGAGCUAUCGGUGAUGUCUCCUUUAAACGUUAUGGCGUUACAUCUGCACCAGAAUUGACAGAUUGGCAACCACUGACUGUGAAUGAUACCUAUCUGGUGGCUGCAUCUGAUGGAGUUUUCGAGAAGAUGAGUUUGCAGGAUGUUUGUGAUUUGUUGUGGGAAGUACGAAGUUUCAAUCCCAGGAGAUCAAAUCUCUCUUCCUCAUGUUCAUACUCAUUAGCUGACUGCAUAGUGGAUACUGCAUUUGAAAAGGGCAGUAGGGAUAACGUGGCAGCUGUUGUUGUUCCAUUGGCAUCUACCGGUUUUUCUGAGAGUUUGUUGAAGAAAAGUUCACAUCAAGAGGGAGACAACGAUCAUGCAGCUUUAGGAAUACAGAAGUCGACCUAUGAAGGAUCAGGUAAUAAGCUCAGUUAUGACCUAAAGCAAUUGGAGUAUGCUCAUCCAGUUAUUGCCAAGUUUGAGAGGUUGAUGGUAGAAGGAAAGCAUGGCUGGGUUGGCUGUUUUUAUUUAUCUGAGAACCUUGAUGAACAAGCGGAGCAUGUGUUGCAAACAGUAGAUGACCAUGAAAAUUAUGUGUAUGACCUGCCCCAGGCUCUUCCAGAGGCUCUUGACCAACACUUUGGUGGACCUCUAAAUUUCUACCAUAACCAGAACUUUUGCAUGUACCUUGGACUUAAUGCUGACAAUGCUAGAGAUCAAUGCAUAAAUGGCUUUGCCAGUUUCCUUUCUUUGCUCGAAUCAAUUCCUUUCGAUGAUGCUGGUUCAAAUAAUGGAUCUUUUGACAAUUCAAUCCCUGACAGGAGGUAUGUACUAAAGAAGAGGUUUGGUCGUGGAUCUUAUGGUGAAGUAUGGUUGGCUUUUAAUUGGAACUGUGAUCAAGGCAGAAACGCUUCAGACUCAAGUAGGAAAGCUAAAGUAUUUCAGUUGGUUUUUUAUGUUUGAUACCGGAGAUUGAAGAUUAUAUAUAAUAUAUCUUUUACUCAAAAUUUUCGUGUAGGCCUUCGUGACGAAAAUAUGUUCAUCUUAAAACGCAUAAUGGUGGAGAAAGGGGCCGCUGUUUAUUUAAGUGGUUUACGUGAAAAGUAUUUUGGAGAAAUUUUUCUCAAUGCAUCUAAUUGUCUUGGAGGUUCACUAUCAGCUGCCACAUCAAAUACUGUUUUAAAUGUAUCAUGGUUCAAUUUCUAUGGUCUAGUAGAAAGAAAUGAUUCAAGGGCAGAUGAAACGGGAAAUAGUUGGACUACUGAAAGCAUGUUUGGAAACAAAUUUAGACUGCAUACUGAUUUAUAUGAAGAAGGUCUGAACCAUAUUGCUAGAUAUGUUGAAUCUUUCGAAUCUCGAGCAAAUGAAAUAUGGCUGGUAUUCCGUUAUGAGGGUAUGUCUUUAUCGAAGCUUAUGUAUACUGUCGAAGAAGACACGAAUGCUGAUGAAGGAAGGAAUGAAAAAGUUAAGCAUGUACAGAUCUUGCGUCCGUCGAAAUGGUGGCAUUGGUUGAAGACAACAAAAGAAGGACAUGAGCAAAUGCGCAGUCUUAUAUGGCAGCUGUUGAUGGCGUUGAAGUCCUGUCACGACCGCAAUAUUACCCACAGAGAUAUUAAACCUGAAAACAUGGUUCUAUGCUUUGAAGAGCAAGACACUGGGAGGUGUUUGAAAGCAAUUCCACAUGGACAAAAUUUUACCACCAAAAUGCGCAUCAUUGACUUUGGUAGUGCAAUGGACGCAUUUACUUUGAAGCAUUUGUAUGGUUCCAUCGGACCAUCCAGAGCUGAACAAACGAAUGAAUAUACUCCUCCUGAAGCCUUACUUCAUGCUAAUUGGUAUCAGAGGCCAACAAACACAACUUUGAAGUAUGAUAUGUGGAGUGUCGGUGUUGUGAUCUUAGAGUUGAUCUUAGGAUCACCAAAUGUUUUUGAGAUCUCUGGUUACACACGUGCUCUUUUAGACCAGCAUCUUGAAGGAUGGAAUGAAGGCUUGAAGGAGCUAGCAUACAAGCUUAGAGCACUGAUGGAGCUCUGUAUACUAAUCCCUGGUAGUUUCUUACAGCAUCACCACACAGACCGAGUUGGAGCAUCACCAGCUUCCUGGAAAUGCUCGGAAGAAUUUUUCUCCCAGCAAAUAAAGAGCAGGGAUCCUCUUAAACUGGGGUUUCCAAAUGUUUGGGCUUUGCGGCUGGUGCGUCAGCUUUUACUCUGGGACCCUGAAGAAAGGUUGAGCGUUGAUGAUGCUUUGCGGCAUCCAUAUUUCCAGCAUCCUCCCACAGAUUAAGUUAAUGGGAAGUAGUGCAUCCAUUAUGUACAGUGCUUCAAACUGAUUUUAGAGGUUUUACAUGCAGGUCAAAGCUUUCAUUCGUCGUAAAAUGUUUUCCAACUGCUACCACCAUUUUGAGGGACGUGGAAUCUGGAGAUGCUUUGUUCUUCAUCAUCUUUAGGAUCUUCAACUGUACAUAUGUAGAACUUGUGAAGCUAACUGUACAUAUGGGACUUGGGUUCUCUAGUUGUAUGGUAAAAGUAACCAUUAGUCUUAAACGAAUUCCAGUGUUUUAUUGGGUUAAUUUUAGUUGUCUGUAUAAAACAUGGGUAACUUACCGAUUUGAAUAAAUUAUAUAGCCAACUGCAUAGAUUAC